AUUAUUUAAGCAGCCAUCCUUUGUGAGCUGUACUACUAAUAUUUACAAAGAACUCAUAAAUAGAGAAACAACAUAGAAAAUGGAUCUUGCUUCAAACUCAUCACCACUACAAAACCUAUGAACAUUUCAGUCCAAAAUAUAUCCCUUCUAUUACCCUUUUGAUCCUCUAGUCUUCCGGCAAUUCACCACUCUGAUGUCCCUUUCUCACGGCCAAGAUGGGCCACCUACUCCUUUCCGGCGGGCCUUUUCUUGACACUGUGUGCAACCUCAUCUUCCACUCACUACCUUGAUUUUCUUGAUUGAGGGUUUAUGGUAAAGAUAGUGACUUGAAUGGUUUCUGGAAUAUCCCAACGGAAUAACUUUGAUUGUUAUUUAUAGAGUUUUGCGGACGCAUUCUCGCUUAGCGAGACUUUUAGUUUGUCAAACGAACUCUUUUUUGCACACAAGUUGGUUGUCAGCUCAUCCAAAUGAUCUUUUCCUCCUAGCUUCGCUAAGUGAGGCCAUGCAAACAUCUAGCAAGAUAGACUUCCUUUACCUUCAGUUAUUUGACUUGUAAGGAAUCUCUCAAAUCGCCUUGUGUCACUAACCAAAUUUGCCAUCUUCAUAUAGACUUAGAGACGGGUGUGAGGGGUGGAUAAAAAGACGUAUGCUGAAAGAAUUGCAGAGUAGUGUGGUGAAGAUAAGGUCGAGCAACGUGACAAGAGAUUAGGGGUGUUCAAAUCCAAACCAGCCCAAUAAAAAACUGCAAACCGAACCAAACCAGACCAAAAACCGUAAAAACCGCAUUUGUUUCGGAUCAAUUUGGGUCAUUUUGUGACAGAACCGCGCGGUUUGGUUCGGUUUGCGGUUUAUAUGUUGAAACCGGCCCAAACCAAACCGCAAUACUUAUAAAUUAACCCCUAUAUUUUAAAAUAUAUUUAACUUUAAGGCCCAUAUUAUUUGAGUUUAAGGCCCAAUAUUUAGAACCAAAAAAAGUCAUUUUGAGACCAUACCCGGCCUGCUGUGUCGUGUGAGUCUUCCAAGUUUCAUUUCAGUAUUACACGGUGGUUGGCUAGGGUUGAGAUAUAUGAGAUUCCAAACAUUCGUCAGCGGCUUCCAAGUUCCAUUACAUCAGAAACACGGUGGUUCUAAACUUCGUCAGCGGAGCUGCAGCUGCUUGUGAAUCGUCACCGGCUUGCCGUAAUCUGUUCUAAACUUUCGUUUCUUAGACAUGGCUAUUGAUAAUGAUAAACAAGUUGAUGUUUCUGAUGCUUCCUUUUCCAUUUCCAUGGCCGAAAAUCAGCCUCAAAGUAAUGAACAAAUGCCAACAACAAAUCCACCACAACCUAUUGAUUUGGAUGUUCAAAAGAAGAAGAAAAGGAAAGUUGGAGAACCUGAUGAUUCUAAUGUCGAUGAUUAUAAUGCUAGAGAUGCAGAAAUGGCUCCGGCUCCGAUCCCACAAUUAAAUGAGGGACUUUCUGACAUUGAAUCGGACUAGUAGACGUGCUUGAAAAAAAUGACAAUCAGGAUGGAUGCUAGAAGACAACAUGAAGCAAUAUGUAAUGGUUGAACUGGAUUUUGAAUGGUGGAACAAACAAGAUGGGUGAACUGAAAUUUGAAUGGUUUAUGAUUUGAAUGGUUGAACUUUAAUUUAUGUAUUAAUUUGGAGUUUUGUCUACAUAUUGAAACUUUAACAGAAUUGCUUGGUUUUGUGGUUUUGUAAGACUUUAUUAUGUAAUUUUUGGUUUGUUGUAAGAUUUUAUUGUGUAGUUUAAGAUUACAUUGAAUGCCGCCUACUGUUGUGGUUUUGUAAGAUUUUAUUGUGAAAGCUUUGAUUAUGAAGAGGUGCAAAAAUUAC